UACGAAGGGGGCUAGCGUUGCUCGGAAUCACUGGGCGUAAAGCGCACGUAGGCGGACUCUUAAGUCGGUGGUGAAAUCCUGGAGCUCAACUCCAGAACUGCCUUCGAUACUGGGAGUCUCGAGUUCGGAAGAGGGGAGCGGAAUUCCCAGUGUAGAGGUGAAAUUCGUAGAUAUUGGGAGGAACACCGGUGGCGAAGGCGGCUCCCUGGUCCGAUACUGACGCUCAUGUGCGAAAGCGUGGGGAGCAAACAGG
rnacentral:rRNA from 1 species